CCUACGGGAGGCUGCAGUAGGGAAUCUUCCACAAUGGGCGAAAGCCUGAUGGAGCAACGCCGCGUGGGUGAAGAAGGUCUUCGGAUCGUAAAACUCUGUUGUUAGAGAAGAAAGUGCGUGCGAGUAACUGUUCCCGUUUCGACGGUAUCUAACCAGACAGCCACGGCUAACUACGGGCCAGCAGCCGCGGUAAUACGUAGGUGGGAAUCGUUAUCCGAGUUUUUUGGGCGUAAGGGGAACGCAGGCGGGCGUUUAAGUGUGAUGUGAAAGCCUUCGGCUUAAGCGGAGUAGUGCAUUGGAAGCUGGGAGACUGGAGUGCAGAAGAGGAGAGUGGAACUCCAUGUGUAGCGGUGAAAUGCGUAGAUAUAUGGAAGAACACCAGUGGCGAAAGCGACUCUCUGGUCUGUAACUGACGCUGAGGUUCGAAAGCGUGGGUAGCAAACAGGAUUAGAUACCCGAGUAGUC
rnacentral:rRNA from 1 species